GGGUUUCCUUAAGAGAAACCCUAUGCCGCCGCGGGGCCACCUUCUCUCUCAUGUCGUCAUUUUUGUCAUUUUUGGCAACACUGCAGGAUGGGCCCAACAUUCCUCUUGAUCGAGUCCGUGGGAAAUAAAUAUGAAAGGGAAGCUAAUAUGUCUUGAAGGCCCAGCCAGUGGGUGAAAAUGGCACUGAUGGGCAGGGUAGGCCCAUCAGUUGGAAAUCUGAUCUCUUUCCUCCUCCAUUUAUGAAUAUAUGUUGUAUAUGUACUGAUGUACGUGAUUAUUGGAACCCACUAUGCAUGUUAGAACU